GACGAACGCUGGCGGCGUGCCUAAUACAUGCAAGUCGAACGCAGUGGGGACGGGUGAGUAACACGUGGGUAACCUCCCAUCAGAGGGGAUAACACUUGGAAACAGGUGCUAAACCUAUACUGAUGGAUGGACCCGCGUUGCAUUAGCUAGUUGGUGAGGUAACGGCUCACCAAGGCCACGCUGCAUAGCCGACCCGAUAGGGGUAUUGGCCACACUGGGACUGAGACACGUCCCAGAGUCCUACGGGAGUCAGCAGUAGGGAAGCUUCGGCAAUGGACGAAAGUCUGACCGAGCAACGCCGCGUGAGGGAAGAAGGUUUUCGGAUCGUAAAACUCUGUUGUUAGAGAAGCGGUAUCUAACCAGAAAGCCACGGCUAACUACGUGCCAGCCGCCGCGGUAAUUC
rnacentral:rRNA from 1 species